rnacentral:rRNA from 1 species
UACGUAGGGCGCGAGCGUUGUCCGGAAUUAUUGGGCGUAAAGAGCUCGUAGGCGGCUGGUCGCGUCUGUCGUGAAAUCCUCUGGCUUAACUGGGGGCUUGCGGUGGGUACGGGCCGGCUUGAGUGCGGUAGGGGAGGCUGGAACUCCUGGUGUAGCGGUGGAAUGCGCAGAUAUCAGGAAGAACACCGGUGGCGAAGGCGGGUCUCUGGGCCGUUACUGACGCUGAGGAGCGAAAGCGUGGGGAGCGAACAGG